rnacentral:pre_miRNA from 14 species
UUCUCAAUAGAAGAGUCUCAAAUGGUUGUGAAAGAUCCCCAAAGGGAGACCCUCACUCAAGUCUCAGGAAGUUGCGGACCCCAGACACACGAGAGACC